rnacentral:rRNA from 1 species
AUUGAACGCUGGCGACAGGCUUAACACAUGCAAGUCGAGCGAGCGGCGGACGGGUGAGUAAUGUCUGGGAAACUGCCUGAUGUAGGGGGAUAACUACUUUAAACAGUAGCUAUUACCGCAUACCAUCAGAUGUGCCCAGAUGGGAUUAGCUAGUAGGUGGGGUAAUGGCUCACCUAGGCGACGCUCCCUAGCUGGUCUGAGAGGAUGACCAGCCACACUGGAACUGAGACACGGUCCAGACUCCUACGGGAGGCAGCAGUGGGGAAUAUUGCACAAUGGGCGCAAGCCUGAUGCAGCCAUGCCGCGUGUGUGAAGAAGGCCUUCGGGUUGUAAAGCACUUUCAGCGAGGAGGCGUUACUCGCAGAAGAAGCACCGGCUAACUCCGUGCCAGCAGCCGCGGUAAUAC